rnacentral:rRNA from 1 species
UUCAUGGAGAGUUUGAUCCUGGCUCAGGACGAACGCUGGCGGCGUCCCUAAUACAUGCAAGUCGAGCGGACCGACGGGAGCUUGCUCCC